CCAGCAGCUGCGGUAAUUCCAGCUCCAAUAGCGUAUAUUAAAGUUGUUGCGGUUAAAAAGCUCGUAGUUGAAUUUCUGCCGAGGACGACCUACCCACCUUAGGGUGCGUGUCAGCGUUGACCGAGGCAUCCUCCUAGAUGCGAUCGAGCUUAACCGUUCGGUUCGUGCUAGGACUUUUACUUUGAGGAAAUUAGAGUGUUUCAAACAGGCGUUCGCCGUGAAUACAUUAGCAUGGAAUAAUAAGAUAGGACUGCGGUUCUAUUUUGUUGGUUUCUAGAACUGAAGUAAUGAUUAAUAGGGACAGUCGGGGGCAUUCGUACUUAACUGUCAGAGGUGAAAUUCUUGGAUUUGUUAAAGACGAACUACUGCGAAAGCAUUUGCCAAGGAUGUUUUCAUUGAUCAAG
rnacentral:rRNA from 1 species